rnacentral:rRNA from 1 species
UACAGAGGUCUCAAGCGUUGUUCGGAUUCAUUGGGCGUAAAGGGUGUGUAGGUGGCGCCGUAAGUCGGGUGUGAAAUUUCGGAGCUUAACUCCGAAACUGCAUUCGAUACUGCGGUGCUUGAGGACUGGAGAGGAGACUGGAAUUCAUGGUGUAGCAGUGAAAUGCGUAGAGAUCAUGAGGAAGACCAGUGACGAAGGCGGGUCUCUGGACAGUUCCUGACACUGAGACACGAAGGCCAGGGGAGCAAACGGG